rnacentral:rRNA from 1 species
UAGGGAAUCUUGCGCAAUGGGCGAAAGCCUGACGCAGCCAUGCCGCGUGAAUGAUGAAGGUCUUAGGAUUGUAAAAUUCUUUCACCGGGGAAGAUAAUGACGGUACCCGGAGAAGAAGCCCCGGCUAACUUCGUGCCAGCAGCCGCGGUAAUACGAAGGGGGCUAGCGUUGCUCGGAAUUACUGGGCGUAAAGGGCGCGUAGGCGGAUAUUUAAGUUGGGGGUGAAAUCCCGGGGCUCAACCUCGGAAUUGCCUUCAAAACUGGAUAUCUUGAGUUCGGGAGAGGUGAGUGGAACUCCGAGUGUAGAGGUGAAAUUCGUAGAUAUUCGGAAGAACACCAGUGGCGAAGGCGACUCACUGGCCCGAUACUGACGCUGAGGCGCGAAAGCGUGGGGAGCAAACA